UGGGAUCUUUAGAAACCCUGCUGAUAUGGCC
rnacentral:piRNA from 1 species